UCCGGCCUCAAUUCCGUAGUGCAUUGCAGUGUAGACCCGUUCGUAAGACCGACUGCAAGCAUUGUGGGAGUGAAGCCGUGCG
rnacentral:pre_miRNA from 1 species